rnacentral:tRNA from 1 species
AGAGGUGUCGUUCAUCAAUAGAACUCCUGCCUUCUAAGCACUGGUCCUGAGUUCAAAUCUUAGCACCUCAA